GCGCGAGGGAUUAUUAGCUUGCGCAGAUCCUUUCAGGAACGCGCACAGCUGCAUGCCUGACUCACCUGUGAUGGAUUUAGAUGAAGCUUUGAAGUUCGUCGGAGAGUUUGGGCCCUACCAGAAACGAGCCGUGGCUGUCCUCGUCCUGACUCAGGUGUACAUGGCCUGUCAGUCCAUGCUCAUCGUCCUGGUUGGUUUUACACCGGAGUACCGCAUCGAGCAGCAUCAGCAGCAGGACGGCGUCCCUGUAAGCCAGCACGUCACCUUUACAGAGAACGUCGACUCCAUCGUGACUGAGUGGUUCCUCAUCAAGCAGCAGGCCUACAAGGUCAGCCUCGCCGGGUCGCUUUUCUUCGCCGGGCUUCUAAUCGGGAACGUCGUCUUUGGGCCUCUCUCGGAUAAGAUUGGCCGGAGACCCGUCUACCUGACAGGCCUGUUCUUUGAGGUCGUCUUCGGCUACGUGACCGCGUUUGCUCCCAGCUAUGAGGUCUUUGCUGCCUCUCGUUUCCUGGUGGGGCUGAUGAACGGCGGCAUCGGACUCGUUUGCUUCGUCCUCACGCAGGAGUACGUGGGCAAGUCCUACUGGGCCAUGACGGGGACGCUGACCAGCAUGACGUUCGCUGUCGGCAUCGCCCUGUUCGGUGCUCUGGGCUACUUAAUCCAGCCGUGGAGGAACUUGGCGACGGCGGCCAACUCGUCCGGCGUGCUCUUCUUCCUGCUGUCUGUCUCUCUUCCAGAGUCUCCUCGUUGGCUGUACUCCCAGGGCCGGGCGGAGCGAGCUGAGGAGGUCCUGCGUUUUAUGGCGAGCAGGAACGGCAACGCCGUGAAGCACCUGAUGCUGCAGCGCGUCGGCGUCUCUAAAGCCGGUAACCACAAAAGCCGAGGCGCCGGCGUCCUGCAGCUGAUCAUCCACCCGGUGCUCCGCCUGCGGACGAUGGUGCUCAUGUAUGUGUGGUACGCCUGCAGUCUGGUGUACUACGGGCUGACUCUGGGGGCCGGUGAGACGUCUGGUAGCCGUUAUGUUAAUGUGGCGAUGUACGGCCUCGUGGAGCUGCCGGCAUACCCACUUUGCAUAUACUUCAUCAACAAACACUGGGCUGGGAGGAGGAAAAGCAUGGCAAGCUUCCUGUGUCUGGCUGGCUCCGCCUGCCUCUGCACCACCUUCAUUCCCGAAAAUGCAGGAGCUUUGCUGAGUGUGACGUCAUUGGCACUUGUGGGAAAACUGAUGGUCAGCGCAGCGUUCAACAUCGCCUACGUCUACACCUCCGAGCUCUACCCCACCGUCAUCAGGAACGCCGGGCUGGGAGUUUGUUCCAUGUCCUGCAGAGUUGGAGGAAUCCUGGCACCGUUCGUUCCUUCCAUGGUAAGGCUGUGAGUGUGAGAGAGGUUAGGAGUAAAUGCUCUGGAAAAAGCCUGAGCCAGCAACAGGAAGCACUCGAUCUGAUCUUGAGCCACUCAGCAGCUCUCAUGAACCAGCAGACGUUUAAAUCAUUUCCUGUUUGGAGCUGUUGUUGGCAUGGAGAUCAGACCAUUAAAAACAUGGUUUAAUAAUAAAAAAGGAGGAAAAGUGAUGAUGAAGAAGGAGGUCUGGUAGUUUUUAAAUGUUAUUCUUUUAAGAGAUUUUAUUUUGAAAUGUAUUUUGUGCAUAUUGGUAUAAAUAUUUUAGCUGGUGUGUGCAGGGACGAGAGGACGAGGCGUUGAGCUUUGGAGGGAUCGUUGAGUUUGGGUUCAGUUGCCGUGUCCCGUUUGCUUCGUGCGGUUGCCUUUAUGCCUCAUAGAUAAUAAAAGUAAGAGUGAGGCCUGUGGGGGUUUCCGGCUCAGGUUUCUUAAAGUGUGAAUCUUUGCAUUUGACAGCUCAUCGGCUUCUUGCUAAAGUCUUGAGUUAUUUAUACUGGAGGGCGUGGUGAGCUGGGAGGACGGUUACUGUUAGUCUGUAAGUGUUGGUGUGAUGUCAGCCUGAGAGAUGAGUUCCUCUGAUUGUAGCCUGUGGUCAAACAUUCAUGCUUUCUGUACUCUGAAACAAAGUGGGGGAAUUUUAAAAAGUGAUAGACGGUGAAACCUCAAGUGUGCCAACAUCUGCUUCCCACCAGCUCUGUCAUCUCUGUGGAUGCAGCUCGUUUUUGUUAAUAGGAAGGAAACGGUGUUUUUACUUAACUUCUGAAGGAGUGUGCGCAGCGCCGCAGAGACAUUCAGUGUUCAUGGGCCUGUGCUGGCUGUUACGUGACAAUAAGUGAAGUAUUUCCAAAGUGAAACCAUCGAGACGCUGAGGGGAAAAUCUGUUUGGUGGGGUUUUUAAUGACUCACUGACUGCUGAAGUAUCGCCCUGACUACACCCUGCUGGGUGCGAGACGUCAGAGGCCAAAAAUGCUGGAAAACAGAAUAUUGUCCUGUAUUGAUCUGUGUUAGGCUGUUUCUGCACAGUUAUAAGGAAAUGGAGUUCAUGCAGCUCGUCUGAGUGAUGAGGUCACACGACCUCAUUCCAGGAAAUCCAUUUGCAUUCACUGACUGAUGCAGUUUUAUUAAUGACCUCACCGAUUCACACAUUCCUGAUUAAUGUGUUGCAGGUUUUCCUGCCCAUGUGAAGCUGCCCCUCGGCCUGCCUAAAGUUUAUCUGUAGUGAUUUGUCCCCCCUCGUGCACCGUCCUGGUGUCUUAUUUAACCACAGGUCUGAUUUAUAAAUACACGCUGUGCUUUGUACUUCGUAUCUGCUGCGUUUCACUUUCACACGAGUUAAAUUUCUAACAGAUCAAAGUGUGUAAAUAUAUUAGUUUCACAGGGAAAUAAAAUCCUGUUAAACAGUCACAUGUGACACAUGAAAGUAGAAAAAGACGGUCAUGAGUUUCGGUUUCUUCUUUUAAUGUGUCACACUGACCUUUGACCUCGUUUUACCGUGUACUCCAAACCUAAAUAAACAGUGACCUCUAGUGGUGAAACAGGGAAGCUCAACAAACACGUGUUUACAGAAAUCUCAGCUAAAAACCUCUGAAUCUUAUUCUUUCUAUCAUAGCUGCAGUUUCCUGUUGCUGUGGCAGAUAUUUUACAUAAUUUUCAUGUUAUUUGCAUUUGAAAAAUAAUUUAAAAACAAAAUACCGAAGCUGUGAAAGCAAAGUCGAUCUUUUCAAGAAUGAAGAGCCUUUUUUUCCAUAAAAGCAUGAAUGAUAAAACGGAGUGUUGAUCGCGUCCUUGUGGCAUUCCUCAGAUAUUUGGAGCCUGAGCGCGGGACCUUUAAUCAAACAGCACACCCAGGCUGUGGAGUUUAUCUGAACUGAUGAAGGUCGGCUUUUUACCCACAAUCCUCAGCGAUUCUCAGCAGUUAACGGUGUUUUACAGAGCGUGAAGGCAACACUCACAGACGCAGGAAAAACUGACCUCAGAUGCUUUAUACUGUAAGGUAGACCCUACAAUAAUACAUACAGAGAAAAACCCAACAAUCAUAUGACCCCCUAUGAGCAAGCACUUUGGCGACAGUGGGAAGGAAAAACUCCCUUUUAACAGGAAGAAACCUCCGGCAGAACCAGGCUCAGGGAGAUGGUUCUCCACAGUCUGAUGGAGAACUGGAGAUUGAUUGGACGGGCAGGGUGUCUGUAUCAUAUCUGCAUGAUGAUUGGCUGAUUGGAGCCUACUUUUCCAUGUCUUUGCACUGCUGAGACAUGAAUUAUAGGCACGAGGGGAAAAACGAGCGACUCUAUUGUUGUGUAAAAGGCCGGCAUGUUUUUAAAAAUCUCCCAUCGUUUUUCAUGGUCACAUGUCGCACCUGUGGGUAGGUUUCUGCAGAAAGUAGAGAUCUGUGUCACUCAGUCUUAUCCAGAGAUUUGCUAAAGAUGGCUCAACAAAGUAAAAACAAAUAUUUAGUUUCACAGUUGGAUAUGAUUUCGUUUUUCCCAGUAAUCUUGUAGGUCGUCUGACUCCUUGGAGUGUUUUUGUAGGAACUGGAGACCCGUUAUUGAAUCACAUCUUAGUUAUUGCUUUCUUACUUGCACUUGUAUUUUGUCCCCACUAAACAUCACACAACUCCAAAUGAGUUGUGUGAUGUCACUGUGCAAACACACAGGUUGAAGUGUUCAGACAGUAAAAAGUCCUGGUUGUGUGUCUCUGUGUG